GAAGGCAGCUUACUGAACCAUAACUGACGCUCAUGCACGAAAGCGUGGGGAUCAAACAGGAUUAGAUACCCUGGUAGUCCACGCUGUAAACUAUGUUCACUCGCUGUUUGCGAUAUACUGUAAGCGGCUAAGCGAAAGCAUUAAGUGAACCACCUGGGGAGUACGAUCGCAAGGUUGAAACUCAAAGGAAUUGACGGGGGCCCGCACAAGCGGAGGAACAUGUGGUUUAAUUCGAUGAUACGCGAGGAACCUUACCUGGGCUUAAAUGUAGAUUGAUUGAACCGGAAACGGUUUUUUCCUUCGGGACAAUUUACAAGGUGCUGCAUGGUUGUCGUCAGCUCGUGCCGUGAGGUGUCGGGUUAAGUCCCAUAACGAGCGCAACCCUUGCCGUUAGUUGCCAUCAGGUAAAGCUGGGGACUCUGACGGGACUGCCACCGUAAGGUGUGAGGAAGGUGGGGAUGACGUCAAAUCAGCACGGCCCUUAUGUCCAGGGCUACACACGUGUUACAAUGGCCGGUACAAAGGGCAGCUACCCCGCGAGGGGAUGCGAAUCUUCAAAGCCGGUCUCAGUUCGGAUUGGAGUCUGCAAUUCGACUCCAUGAAGCAGGAUUCGCUAGUAAUCGCGCAUCAGCCACGGCGCGGUGAAUACGUUCCCGGGCCUUGUACACACCGCCCGUCAAACCAUGGAAGCCGGGGGUGCCUGGAGUCUGUGAUCCCGAGCAAUCGGGAAGCGGCCUAGGGUAAAACUGGUGACUGGGGUUAAGUCGUAACAAGGUAACC
rnacentral:rRNA from 1 species